rnacentral:rRNA from 1 species
CCUACGGGAGGCAGCAGUGAGGAAUAUUGGUCAAUGGAGGCAACUCUGAACCAGCCAAGUAGCGUGCAGGAUGACGGCCCUAUGGGUUGUAAACUGCUUUUAUGCGGGGAUAAACUGCAUUACGUUUGGCUUUUUGCAGUUACCGUAUGAAUAAGGACCGGCUAAUUCCGUGCCAGCAGCCGCGGUAAUACGGAAGGUCCGGGCGUUAUCCGGAUUUAUUGGGUUUAAAGGGAGCGUAGGCCGCCCCUUAAGCGUGUUGUGAAAUGCCGCGGCUCAACCGUGGCAUUGCAGCGCGAACUGGGGGGCUUGAGUGCGCCGGAGGUAGGCGGAAUUCGUGGUGUAGCGGUGAAAUGCUUAGAUAUGACGAAGAACCCCGAUUGCGAAGGCAGCCUACCGUAGCGUUACUGACGCUGAGGCUCGAAAGUGCGGGUAUCGAACAGGAUUAGAUACCCGAGUAGUC